UUUAUACCCCGUCCGUUUGAAAAAUCUUGUCCCAAGCUUGUCCUUCAAAUGGAUGUAUCUAGCACCAAAUUAGUGCUAGAUACAUCCAUUUGAUAGGCAAGCUUUUUCGGACGGAGGAAGUAUAUA
rnacentral:pre_miRNA from 1 species